rnacentral:misc_RNA from 1 species
UUCCGUAGGUGACCUGCGGAAGGAUCAUUGUCAAAACCUGCAAAGCAGCACGACCCGCGAACUCGUACACCAAACUGGGGAGAGGCRGGGGGGGUAAGGUAAACCUUCCUCCUCUGUCUUCCUCUCUGUCGGGGCAUUGCUCUGAGCCCUCUCAUGGAAGUGACGAUGCGUUCCCCGGCCUAACAACGAACCCCGGCGCGAACCGCGCCAAGGAARCUGAAMAAGAGAGCGCGACCCCGGGGCCCCGUUUUGCGGGUGCCAAGGGGUAGUGUGCCUUCUAUAAGAAAUUAAACGACUCUCGGCAACGGAUAUCUCGGCUCUCGCAUCGAUGAAGAACGUARCGAAAUGCGAUACUUGGUGUGAAUUGCAGAAUCCCGUGAACCAUCGAGUUUUUGAACGCAAGUUGCGCCCGAAACCAUUAGGUCGAGGGCACGCCUGCCUGGGCGUCUCACAUCMCCCUGCGCCCCUCCCAGCACUCCUUCUGGCGUCUGGUGUCUGGGGCGUGGUAUAUUGGCCCCCCGUGCCCAGUGGAGCGCGGUCGGCCUAAAAUGGCACACACGACAUCUGUCGACACAAAACAGUGGUUGGCGAUUAGUCGUUACUAUCCUGUGGUGUCGCUUGCGGUGUCGGUUGUGUUGCUAGACCCAGAGUGCCGUUGCGACGGUGCCUCGGUGCGACCCC